rnacentral:rRNA from 1 species
UACGAAGGGGGCUAGCGUUGUUCGGAAUUACUGGGCGUAAAGCGUGCGCAGGCGGCUUCUCAAGUCAGGGGUGAAUGCCCAGAGCUCAACUCUGGAAUUGCCUUUGAGACUGAGUGGCUUGAGUACGAGAGAGGUGAGUGGAAUUCCCAGUGUAGAGGUGAGAUUCGUAGAUAUUGGGAAGAACACCGGUGGCGAAGGCGGCUCACUGGCUCGUAACUGACGCUCAUGCACGACAGCGUGGGGAUCAAACAGG